rnacentral:rRNA from 1 species
AUGGACUGCUUGCAAGCCAGGAAAGCCAUGGCCGUCAAUCUCCUCAUCCUCCACCUCGAUGAGGUCGGACGCCUGUAUCCCGCGAGGCUGGAGAUGGCGCCCACCGUGAGGAGUGGACGGAGGUGCUGGAACCUCCCAGCAGAGGUGCUACGACGGCAUGACGGAGAUGCUACAUCGGUCGCCGGUGAAGAUGCAUCCAUUGCCGGCAAAGAUGCAUCCGUCGAAGGCGGCGCUGUGACGACAUGGCGGAGGUGUUGGAACCGGCUGACAGAGGUGUUGCAUCCGUUGCCGGGGAAGCAGCAUCCCCUGUCGUCGGUGCUGGGUGAGGUGCUGGAACCGCUCGACGGAGGUGUUGCAUCCAUUUGCUGGCAAAGCUACAUCCAUGGCUGGCAAAGCUGCAUCCAUAGCCCAAUUUCGCAUUUUUGUUACUACCGUUUAUUUUUUUGCUGGAACCAUCACAAGUUUUUGCCACCACCGAUUUUUGGGUUUGCUUGA